UACGAAGGGGGCUAGCGUUGCUCGGAAUUACUGGGCGUAAAGGGAGCGUAGGCGGACAUUUAAGUCAGGGGUGAAAUCCCAGAGCUCAACUCUGGAACUGCCUUUGAUACUGGGGUGUCUUGAGUGUGAUAGAGGUAUGUGGAACUCCGAGUGUAGAGGUGAAAUUCGUAGAUAUUCGGAAGAACACCAGUGGCGAAGGCGACAUACUGGAUCAUUACUGACGCUGAGGCUCGAAAAGCGUGGGGAGCAAACAGG
rnacentral:rRNA from 1 species